GGAUGGGUGUCCGAGCGGUUGAAGGUGCUUGACUCGAAAUCAAGUGUGCCCAAAAGGUACCGAGGGUUCGAAUCCCUCCCCAUCCGCCA
rnacentral:tRNA from 1 species